ACUGCUCAGUAACACGUGGACAACCUGCCCUUAGGUUGGGUAUAAACCCGGGAAACUGGGUAUAAUACCCGAUAGGUCUCGAUUGCUGGAAUGCAUCGAGAUUUAAAGCUCCGGCGCCUAAGGAUGGGUCUGCGGCCUAUCAGGUAGUAGUGGGUGUAGCGUACCUACUAGCCUACGACGGGUACGGGUUGUGAGAGCAAGAGCCCGGAGAUGGAUUCUGAGACACGAAUCCAGGCCCUACGGGGUGCAGCAGGCGCGAAAACUUUACAAUGCUGGCAACAGCGAUAAGGGAACCUCGAGUGCCAGGUUACAAAUCUGGCUGUCGAGAUGCCUAAAAAGCAUUUCAUAGCAAGGGCCGGGCAAGACCGGUGCCAGCCGCCGCGGUAACACCGGCGGCUCGAGUGGUAACCGUUAUUAUUGGGUCUAAAGGGUCUGUAGCCGGCCGGAUAAGUCUCUUGAGAAAUCUGGCAGCUUAACUGUCAGGCUUUCAGGAGAUACUGUCUGGCUCGAGGCCGGGAGAGGUGAGAGGUACUUCAGGGGUAGGGGUGAAAUCUUGUAAUCCUUGAAGGACCACCAGUGGCGAAGGCGUCUCACCAGAACGGACCUGACGGCAAGGGACGAAAGCUAGGGGCACGAACCGGAUUAGAUACCCGGGUAGUCCUAGCCGUAAACGAUACUCGCUAGGUGUCGGCCACGGUGCGACCGUUGUCGGUGCCGUAGGGAAGCCGUGAAGCGAGCCACCUGUGAAGUACGGCCGCAAGGCUGAAACUUAAAGGAAUUGGCGGGGGAGCAC
rnacentral:rRNA from 1 species